AUUGAACGCUGGCGGCAUGCCUUACACAUGCAAGUCGAACGGUAACAGGUUAAGCUGACGAGUGGCGAACGGGUGAGUAAUGUAUCGGGACGUGCCCAGUCGUGGGGGAUAACUGCUCGAAAGAGCAGCUAAUACCGCAUACGACCUGAGGGUGAAAGCGGGGGAUCGCAAGACCUCGCGCGAUUGGAGCGGCCGAUAUCAGAUUAGGUAGUUGGUGGGGUAAAGGCCCACCAAGCCAACGAUCUGUAGCUGGUCUGAGAGGACGACCAGCCACACUGGGACUGAGACACGGCGCAGACUCCUACGGGAGGCAGCAGUGGGGAAUUUUGGACAAUGGGCGCAAGCCUGAUCCAGCCAUGCCGCGUGCGGGAAGAAGGCCUUCGGGUUGUAAACCGCUUUUGUCAGGGAAGAAAAGGUUCUGGUUAAUACCUGGGACUCAUGACGGUACCUGAAGAAUAAGCACCGGCUAACUACGUGCCAGCCGCCGCCGUAA
rnacentral:rRNA from 1 species